UACGUAGGGGGCAAGCGUUGUCCGGAUUUAUUGGGCGUAAAGAGCGUGUAGGCGGCCAGGUAGGUCCGUUGUGAAAACUCGAGGCUCAACCUCGAGACGUCGAUGGAAACCAUCUGGCUAGAGUCCGGAAGAGGAGAGUGGAAUUCCUGGUGUAGCGGUGAAAUGCGCAGAUAUCAGGAGGAACACCGGUGGCGAAGGCGGGUCUCUGGGCCAUUACUGACGCUGAGGAGCGAAAGCGUGGGGAGCGAACAGG
rnacentral:rRNA from 1 species